AAUAGAUACCCAGGUAGUCCACGCCGUAAAACGAUGAGUGCUAAGUGUUGGGGGGUUUCCGCCCCUCAGUGCUGCAGCUAACGCAUUAAGCACUCCGCCUGGGGAGUACGGUCGCAAGACUGAAACUCAAAGGAAUUGACGGGGGCCCGCACAAGCGGUGGAGCAUGUGGUUUAAUUCGAAGCAACGCGAAGAACCUUACCAGGUCUUGACAUCCCGGUGACCACUAUGGAGACAUAAGUUUCCCCUUCGGGGGCAACGGUGACAGGUGGUGCAUGGUUGUCGUCAGCUCGUGUCGUGAGAUGUUGGGUUAAGUCCCGCAACGAGCGCAACCCUUAUUCUUAGUUGCCAUCAUUCAGUUGGGCACUCUAAGGAGACUGCCGGUGAUAAACCGGAGGAAGGUGGGGAUGACGUCAAAGUCAUCAUGCCCCUUAUGACCCGGGCUACACACGUGCUACAAUGGACCGGUACAAACGGUUGCCAACCCGCGAGGGGGAGCUAAUCCGAUAAAACCGUUCUCAGUUCGGAUUGUAGCUGACAACUCGCCUACAUGGAACG
rnacentral:rRNA from 1 species